AAUUACCCCUAUCCCAAUUAGACAAGCAAGGUCCAAAGACUCAAACGACCAUUUAAGGUAGAUUAGGGCUCCGAACCAAUGAACCCUUUUUGGACCCUAAGCUGUGCUAUCAACAAAGCACCAAAUACCUUAGCAAAAGGCUACUACAUUGGCUAUCCAUUGCUGAUGGGGAUCAAACACCAACUGAAGCACAAAAAGGCCAAUGCAUGGCACUUAACUAUAGAGA
rnacentral:misc_RNA from 1 species